rfam:Cavia porcellus supercont2_48 genomic scaffold, whole genome shotgun sequence.
UGGCGCUCAGCAUGGGGCACCUGGCACAGAGGAUCCAACGAGGGAGCUGUCCGGGGAUGCACACAUAAAAAGGAAACUAAGAGUUUUGCGACCAAUGCUGCGCGGGAGCCUGCCACGCCUCUCGAGUCAGAAUAAGUGGACAGCAAUCCCUUCCCCUUUUUUCCGGCAUGGGUCAAGCAUUAAGUGAUCACAAACUUUUUGUGGGAGGCCUAAGUAAGGCGUUAAAGACAAGAGAGAUUAAGGCUAAAGAAAAAGAUUUACUACAAUAUUUUCAAUCUACUCAUAAGGUUUGCCCUU